GUUUCCGGGGUAUCCAAGGGUCCCGUUGAAUGCGACACAGAUCACUCGUAGUCUGGAGGCAUAUAUACAGUGGCUUCUCGGCAAGGUGAUGUUCACAUAGAACCAUGUCAGCACUAUUAGCGCGAGCUACAUCCCUAUUGCACUGGAGAUCGCGAGCGCUGAGACGCCGAAUCAGAUCACCCAAAGGAGUUGGGGUUCGGCUGUCUUAGCGUAUACAUACCAAGCUAUGUGCAAUGCCUGCCAGCUUACGUCACCCACGUCAGCCCUUCUUGGAUGCCCUCUAUUUCUGCAACUGUGGUCGUGGGAGAGGUUCUCCAUAGGACGACCGGACGUACAUGUUGACGAGCCUAUGGAUAUCAUGUUUGAUGUUGAAGGCAUCGACAUGCCUACCUUCAGUCUGAGUUGGACAUGUCGCAGCAGAUGCUUUGCUGGUGAUCAGACCAGACGAGCUUACACGGCACUAAACGAGCAGUUUGAUGCGUACAGUGGGGUGAUCUGGCAGCCGUACACGCAAGAAGCCAUAGAUGCAAGAUACCCCGGCAGUUUGUCCGUGCUGUGCACAAGAGACGCCGAUUAUUGGAAGACGAAAUCGAAGAUCAUCUUCGAUGUCUUCGUCGAGGAGAUGGCCUAGCAUAGGGUUAUGAGGCAAUUUGGUCUUCUGCAAUUGGAGACACCUCCCCCUACAGAGGCCCCGCUUCACGGAGACAUCCACAGGAUCACAAAGAAGGGGAUUAACAGGACUGCAACUGAGUGGCUAGUUAGGGUUCAGCCGUACGUUAAACAAUGGGAGACUGCGAACACACAUCUGUGGCACGAGAAUCACAGCUUUGAUAUGGAGGAAUUCAAUCUCUAUCUGCAGCGGUACAUGACCGGAACACGGUUGUGCAUCGUUCAUCACAAUCACCCAGAUGAGAUACAUGCCCCUAAUACAUCGGAUAUGUACCCGAGCUAUGAUACUUCGGGCUCUAGGCAGCACGCGGUAAGAGCAUUUCUCUUCGUAUAAUGCAAGUAGUGCAUACAUACUUUGUCGUGCACACGUAAUAAUCGUCCUGACAAUUUCAGGCUGAGUUGACUCACCAACUUGGCGAUGAGGUGUCCAACUAUCAGCGUUCACUGUCGUCUGCACCUCUAAUGCUUCCUCAGACUCAGGUCCAGACCUGGAUGACGCACAUUGAGGGGAAACUACGAUCUGUGUAUCGAGCUAUUACGUGCACACGCACUUCGGACGUUCUUCACCAGCAUUGUCGUGGUUUUGUCACGGCAGAUGUCCUAAGGAAAGGACUUAGUCGUGGAGCCAUCGCUACGAGUUAGCUUAAAGGGGUUAAAGCAGACAAGGGACGCAAAGAGUUUUAAACUAGUUCGGCCCCUUACGAUGAAGGUAAAAGCCUACGUCUAGUUGUGAUGGAAUUGCUGGGGUUUCGAUGACCAGGGAGCGAAUACAGUUUGCCUGAGUCUCGAG